AUCCUUAAUAUUACAAAAUAAUUGGGCUUGGUCUCUGGGAGUGUUAAAAUUUCAAAUCAUUUCUAGAACACUCCGACGAUGGUUUCCCCUCCGGCGAUGAAUCCAACUAUGACGAAGAAGAUCUGAAAUUUCGAAGCAAAGGUUGGUUGGCGGCGGUUGUAGAGCUGGAGAAUGGGAGGAGGGCUCUGGAUAAGCAAUGUGAUGCGUGGGUGGCUUCGAUUACAGAGUGGGAGAAGGAAUUCAUGGUCAAUGAUGAAGAUAAUUCUGAGACCCAAUUGCAGAAAUGCUGUGAAGAGAUGUGCUCCUCAUAACCAAUAAAUGGUAUGGCACGAAACGGGCCACUUCAUUUGAGCCUCCAACAGCUUGCCUUGAGGUGGUUUGCCGUUGACGGACCCUUGAAGGAUGAAUUGCACAAUUUGAUUUUGUUGCUCUGUGGAUAAUUCUUUCUUCUCCAUGAUGGCUUGGAGUAGAAUUUCAGGCCUUUAGAUAUUUUUUUUUCCAUCUCAGAUUUGUGUUCUUUUGUCUUCAAAUUACUGUUGGGAUUUUAUAGGAAUAUCUGAAGUGUAUUUAGGUGGGAAUUUCGAAAUAUAAUUUGACUA